rnacentral:rRNA from 1 species
CUUAGAGGUUAAGCCCGAUGAACCUGAAUAUCCAUUAUGAAAAAUUCAUCAUUAUGCCUGUGAUAUUAAUUUUAAUAUUAUAGUAAUAGUGUGCAUUUUUUUCAUAUAAGGACAUUGUAAUCUAUUAACAUAAAGAAAUAUUUAUCAAAAGAUCAUUUGCUUAAGUUUAUUCAAAUUAAUUUGCUUUUUGCUUAUUAACAUAGAAUAAAUGCUUAUGAUUUGAUAAAGUGUUGAUAGAUUAAUUAUAUAUAAUGCUAAAAUUUUUUCGGAAAUUUUACAAUAACAUUAUAAUCUUUGAUUUUAACGUUUAUUGUAUGCAUUUA